rnacentral:rRNA from 1 species
ACGAACGCUGGCGGCGUGCUUCACACAUGCACGUCGAGCGGAAAGGCCUGCUUUCCCUUGUGGAUUGCGGGUACUCGAGUGGCGAACGGGUGAGUAACACGUGAGUGAUCUGCCCCCAACUUGGGUAUAAGCCUGGGAAACUGGGUCUAAUUCCCGAUAGGACUGCAGGGUGGUGCCUGUGGUGGAAAACGAUUUUCUAGUGGUUGGGGAUGAGCUCGCGGCCUAUCAGCUUGUUGGUGGGGUAAUGGCCUACCAAGGCGGCGACGGGUAGCCGGCCUGAGAGGGUGGACGGCCACAUUGGGACUGAGAUACGGCCCAGACUCCUACGGGAGGCAGCAGUGGGGAAUAUUGCACAAUGGGCGGAAGCCUGAUGCAGCGACGCCGCGUGGGGGAUGACGGCCUUCGGGUUGUAAACUCCUUUCGACCGCGAGGAAGCCACCUGGUUGGAAGGGUGGUGACGGUAGUGGUAGAAGAAGCACCGGCUAACUACGUG